UUAACAGAAGCAAAACCAACAGUGGGCAAGGAUGUGGAGACUUCAUAGUGACUUCUUAGCAAAUGUCACCAUACCACUUUGGGAAAUUUGCCUUAUAUAACAAGCAUGUGGUUUCCAGUUGACUACAUGGGGAAGUUACAAGAACUACCUUGGAUGUGAACACUGAGGAUAUGGAGUACUUUAUACCCAGUACUGUGCCCACCCAGAACUAGCACUGUAUAAAAUGUUAUCUGUCAUUCUUAUUAUAAAAGUGUGAAAAUACACUAUUUUCAUUUAAGAGACAUAUCAAUGUUGAAAAUUCAGUUCAAAACCACACUGAAAUGCCUUUUUGUAAUCAUUCAGUAAGCACUCACAUGAAAUGUAAGCAGUGUUCUUUACACUAAAAUUUAUUGAUUUCAAUAUUGACAAAUGGGCCACAAAAGAAUGAUGAUAUUGAAGCAAAGCCUACAAUAUGUCCACCACAUUGAAUGAUCUGCUAAAUAUGCUUGCUUUGAUCCAUUUGUGUUCUCCCAAAUCCCAUCACUUUACAUUAGAGUCCACCAUCUUUUGUUCAACCCUCUGUCUUCUCUAGAAUGAAAACCCCCAAAUCAGAGACAAGAUCUCACAAUCAUUAUUGUGUGGCAAUAUACCUAUCAACUUUUAGAAAGAAAAUUAGGGAAAUAAUUAUUAACUUAUAUAAGUCUGUGAAAAUCUUAUAAAAUUUCACAAAAUAACAUAUAAACAUCAUCAACAACAAUAACAACAAAAACAACAUAACAAAAAGAACCAUGGCAAUAGAUAUAUUGCUAAUAGCAGAUGAAACUAAUAUGAGCCACAAGGAGAGGUAAAAAUGAAUUAGGUAAGUCUGGGUUUGCUGGGCACUCUGGGAAUGGUACAUGAAGAGAAGGCAACAAUCUCUAAGAAAUGUAUGUUCUACAUAUUUUUCUGCGGUGCUUAAAACGUUAGAAUAUGAUCUUUUGAGUUGGAUCCCAAGUUGGGCCUGUCACUGGACCUCCUUUCACUCAGGCUCUUCUCCAUUUUUGUCCCUGCAGUUCUUUUACACAGGAACAAUUCUGGGUCACAGUUUUUGACUGUGGGAUGGUAAACCCAUCCCUCCACUUGAUGCCCUGUCUUUCUACUGGAGAUGGACUCUACAAGUUCCCUCUCCCCACUGUUUGGCACUUCAUCUAAGGUUCCUCUCUUUGAGUCCUGAGCAUCUCUCAACUUCCAGGUCUCUGGUAUAUUCUAGAGGGCCCACUAUCUCCUACCUCCUGAGGUUGCCUGCAUUCUUUCUGCUGGCCCUCAGAACUUCAGUCCUGUCCCCUCCCCCAAUCCCAUACAUGAUUAUGUUCCCCUUUUCCUUUCCAUGCCUGCUCUCCCUCCCUCUGCUCCCCCCCACCCCUUCUGUGAUUGCUUUCUUCUCCCUCCCAAGUGGGACUGAGGCAUCCUCACUUGGGCCUUUUGGCUUCUUAACCUUCUUGAGUUCUGUGAAUCAUACCCUGGGUAUUCUGUUCUUUUCUUUGCUAAUAUCCACUUAUUAGUGAGUACAUAGCAUGCCUGUCUUUUUGGGUCUGAGUUACCUCAUUCAGGAUGAUAUCAGGCAACACACACCAGAUGAUAUGAGGUCCCCAACAACGUAUACAGCAGAGGACUGCCUGAUCUGGCCUCAAUGAAAGAAGAUGCACCUAACCUAACCCCCAACAGACUUGAGGCCCCAGGGAAAGUGGAGGUCUGGUGAGGUGGGGGUGGGGUUGGAGACAGGGAAAGUGGUAUGAGAUAAGGAACAGUCAGAGGGUGUACUGGGAAGAAGAUAAUGACUGGAAUGUAAAAAAAAAGAUUUAAUAAUAAUAAUAAUAAUAAUAAUAAUAAUAAUAAUAUUUUUGUAACCAAAUAUUUUUCUUGGACUAUACUGUGUUUCUUACCUUAUAAUGACAGGUGAUAGAUCAGGGGCUUCAGACAGGUGCUCCUUUCAUGUCUGUAGUUGAGAGAAAUGCCGAGCAAUACUAUCCAAAGAGCUAGUGUCACAUUUAGAACAUGAAUUCAGAUUUUCUAUCAGCAAGGACAUUUACCAUUCACUAAUCUACCCUUUACCAUGAGUUCCUGAAGAGAUCAAUUGUUCUCCCUGGUACACCCAGGGAAUCAUCUGUCCUCAGCACAGGAGGCUGCACACAGCAGUGAAUAAAAGGUGAGCAAAAGACAAAAAACCAGUUCUACAAUGUAAAUGACACAUUCUAUUAAUGCAAGUGGCUCCAAAUGAACCAAUUUCAUUCAAUAGUACUUUUACAUUCUGAAGCUAUAUGGGCUGGGAUACAUAUUGUAAUGUCAGUUUGUCAGGAGAGUGGACUGGGGUGCAUAAUUACAAGUUCUCAUUCAGCACUUCAGGAGCUAAUCAGAGCAAGGAUGUGAAUCUGUAAUUUGCAAAUGUUAAGAGACAGAGGUUAUAUGGCACUAAUGGCUCUUCUGAUAACAUUCUUGUCACCGGAUCAUGGGAGGGUGGAUGAAAAUUCCCCAGGUUCAUUUGAUCUUCUGUUUAGCCAGAAUUACAAGGAAACUGUCCUUAUGGCUGCAUCUGUGGGUGCUUCUGUGGCUAGUGAUGUUUGAAAGGUAAACCAUCAUAUGAAAAUAAAUUAACAUUGAUAUUCUGAUGGACAAUGCAAAAUCAGAAAGUAAUGCAUAGAGCAAACUAGUGAAAAUUAAUACAGAACAAAGAUCGAAAGUUAAUAUAUCCCAAAACCUGUUUCAAACAAAUAUUUUUCUCAAAGGAGAGACAAAUAAGAAAAAUAAAUAAUGCAUAGGUAGGUAGAUAGAUGAUAGACAGAUGUAGACAGACAGACAAAUAGGCACAUAUAUGUGCACAUAUGUGCACUUCCGUAUGUCAUCAUCUGAUAUUCUCAGGGAAUCUCAGAGUCAUCUGUAGAUAUGAAAAUCUGAGAAGAUGCUUUUUUCUUCAUGUGUCUUUGUUGAGAGCAAGGCACUAGAACACAAAACAAGAAGUUCCAUAGCUGCUCACUCUGAACUCCAGGCAGAGAUUAACACAUUCAGUGUUUGAUUCUUCAUUCAGAAUGAGAGUCUUUGAGGUGAGAGUAGCCCUUCUGAAUUUUUCCAUAUAGGACUAAAGAGGACAGGCUAAUAUGUUCCAGUUAUGGGUCCUCUCAGAACAACACAACUCAAACAUCAGGUCAAUGAAGAAAAGAAAACUGUAUUGUAGUCACGCUACCAGUGAUUGAUCAGGGCUGCAAGACAAACUUGGGAGCCAAACUAAACCCUCAAGCUAGAAUCAUGUAGAACUUUUAAGCCCCCCCCAAAACCACAAAUAUCUGUGCCAAGUUAUAAUUAUACGUUUUCACCAAUCAGGACUCAAGGAUGGUGGAUUUUCAUAGGAACAUUUCCCUAUGAGGUGCAUUUAUUCUGUUCUCAUUGGCUGGUUUACUCAGCUGUAGCAGAGCACCUUGCCUGGCUGUCGUGACUCUACUUGCCAACCAGGAUAUCAGAUACCCACCUACAUAUAUCUCUCUCCACCAAGCAGGAUGUCAGUUACCCAGGAAGGUCUUUGGAAUUUAAACUUUAUUUGACCCACUAUUCAAAAUGGAAGUUUUAUUCAAAGUGGCUUCAAUUUGGUGCCUUCUUACAUGUCUACCAUCAGUCACAGGAUAUAAGCUGUUUCAGGCAGUUGUUGUUGUUGGUGGUGGCAGUGGAUAAGAACAAGGACAAGUGAUUCCAGCCCCAUCAGAACCCAUCAGAGCAUCCUCAUCAAUGAAACCUAAUUUCUUAUAUGUGCAUACCCCUGAUUGCCUCUUCUUUCCCUCUCCACGCGAUCUUCUUAUCCUCCCUCCACCUCUUUUAUUUUUACUUUGCAAAAUUAUCUUAUUUUAUAAAAUAAUACCAAGGCUUUUUUUUUCCCAUUGAAAAGUACCUCUUGUGUGCCAAGUUUGAAAAAAAAAAAAAAAACAAUGUCUUUUUUUGCUGUUAAUGGAUGAUGACACUUUGACAGAUGAAUGAGCAAUUCUGCUCUAACUUUCUGGGGAAAGUAUGGAUGGAAGUAUGUAGCAGCAUUUAUCCUGGCAUUAAAUGCAUGAACUAUCCAAAGAGGCAGCCUCUUACCUUCUAGGGGAUUUGUGUGCUUAAAUCAAGGCUGACAAACUCAAUACAUACAUUUGGGCAAAAGACAGCUUGGCUUAAAG
rnacentral:lncRNA from 1 species